ensembl:miRNA MIR4801 microRNA 4801
UUGAGGCUUGGUUUUCUUAUGUGUAAAAUGUAAUAACAUUUCUUAUGUUUAAAACACUUUACACAAGAAAACCAAGGCUCAA